GACAACUAAAUACUGAGGAAUUAAGUUGACAAAUGGUGACCUGAAAAGUAUGGGAAAAUUGGAAAAACUUCAAUUUGUUGGUUUCACCUAUUUGAAAAUGCCGCUCACUUCUUCAACGUGGCCGCGUAGCUGGUGUCGUUGCUGAUUGGCCGCAUUUUUUUUACUUGCGCGUGGCUAGACCUUCAGUGGGUUGGAUCCAUCAU